GUCGUNAGCUCGUGUUCGUAGAAAUGUUUGGGUAAAGUUCCCGCAACNGAGGCGCAACCUGGCCUCAGUCCAAUNGUUCGCCGGNCANUAGGAGGAACGCCGGGACAAGCCCGGAGNAAGCGGGGAAACUCAAGUCUAAGCCCUAAUGGGUGGGAAAAAACGUGAACAAUGCGUGACAGAGGCAGCGAAGGGCGAGCCCGGAGCAAAUCCCCAAAAGCCGUCUCAGGUGACUCUGCAACUCGAGUGCAUGAAGNCGGAUCGCUAGAAUCGCAAUCAGAGGCCGCGNAGAAU
rnacentral:rRNA from 1 species